rnacentral:rRNA from 1 species
GCGGUGGAAUGCGCAGAUAUCAGGAGGAACACCGAUGGCGAAGGCAGAUCUCUGGGCCGUAACUGACGCUGAGGAGCGAAAGGGUGGGGAGCAAACAGGCUUAGAUACCCUGGUAGUCCACCCCGUAAACGUUGGGAACUAGUUGUGGGGUCCAUUCCACGGAUUCCGUGACGCAGCUAACGCAUUAAGUUCCCCGCCUGGGGAGUACGGCCGCAAGGCUAAAACUCAAAGGAAUUGACGGGGACCCGCACAAGCGGCGGAGCAUGCGGAUUAAUUCGAUGCAACGCGAAGAACCUUACCAAGGCUUGACAUAUACGAGAACGGGCCAGAAAUGGUCAACUCUUUGGACACUCGUAAACAGGUGGUGCAUGGUUGUCGUCAGCUCGUGUCGUGAGAUGUUGGGUUAAGUCCCGCAACGAGCGCAACCCUCGUUCUAUGUUGCCAGCACGUAAUGGUGGGAACUCAUGGGAUACUGCCGGGGUCAACUCGGAGGAAGGUGGGGAUGACGUCAAAUCAUCAUGCCCCUUAUGUCUUGGGCUUCACGCAUGCUACAAUGGCCGGUACAAAGGGCUGCAAUACCGCGAGGUGGAGCGAAUCCCAAAAAGCCGGUCCCAGUUCGGAUUGAGGUCUGCAACUCGACCUCAUGAAGUCGGAGUCGCUAGUAAUCGCAGAUCAGCAACGCUGCGGUGAAUACGUUCCCGGGUCUUGUACACACCGCCCGUCAAGUCAUGAAAGUCGGUAACACCUGAAGCCGGUGGCCUAACCCUUGGGAGGGG